rnacentral:rRNA from 1 species
GACGAACGCUGGCGGCGUGCUUAACACAUGCAAGUCGAACGGAAAGGCCCUGCUUUUGUGGGUUGCUCGAGUGGCGAACGGGUGAGUAACACGUGAGUAACCUGCCCUUGACUUUGGGAUAACUUCAGGAAACUGGGGCUAAUACCGGAUAGGAGCUCCUGCUGCAUGGUGGUGGUUGGAAAGUUUCGGCGGUUGGGUAUGGACUCGCGGCUUAUCAGCUUGUUGGUGGGGUAGUGGCUUACCAAGGCUUUGACGGGUAGCCGGCCUGAGAGGGUGACCGGCCACAUUGGGACUGAGAUACGGCGCAGACUCCUACGGGAGGCAGCAGUGGGGAAUAUUGCACAAUGGGCGGAAGGCUGAUGCAGAAACGCCGCGUGCGGGAUGACGGCCUUCGGGUUGUAAACCGAUUUCGCCUGUGACGAAGAGUGAGUGACGGUAAUGGGUAAAGAAGCACCGGCUAACUACGUG